CUGCGAAUGGCUCAUUAAAUCAGUUAUCGUUUAUUUGAUAGUACCUUACUACUUGGAUAACCGUGGUAAUUCUAGAGCUAAUACAUGCUAAAAACCCCGACUUCGGGAGGGGUGUAUUUAUUAGAUAAAAAACCAAUGCCCUUCGGGGCUCCUUGGUGAUUCAUGAUAACUUUCUCAGAUCGCAUGGCUUUACGCCGGCGACGGUUCAUUCAAAUUUCUGCCCUAUCAACUUUCGAUGGUAAGGUAGUGGCUUACCAUGGUUUCAACGGGUAACGGGGAAUUAGGGGUUCGAUUCCGGAGAGGGAGCCUGAGAAACGGCUACCACAUCCAAGGAAGGCAGCAGGCGCGCAAAUUACCCAAUUCCGAUACGGAGAGGUAGUGACAAUAAAUACUGAUACAGGGCUCUUUAGGGUCUUGUAAUUGGAAUGAGUACAAUUUAAACCUCUUAACGAGGAACAAUUGGAGGGCAAGUCUGGUGCCAGCAGCCGCGGUAAUUCCAGCUCCAAUAGCGUAUAUUAAAGUUGUUGCAGUUAAAAAGCUCGUAGUUGAACCUUUGGCCUGGCUGGCAGGUCCGCCUCACCGCGUGCACUUGUCCGGCCGGGCCUUUUCUUCUGGAGAACCGCAUGCCCUUCACUGGGUGUGUUGGGGACCAGGACUUUUACUUUGAAAAAAUUAGAGUGUUCAAAGCAGGCCUUUGCUCGAAUACGUUAGCAUGGAAUAAUAGAAAUAGGACGUGCGGUCCUAUUUUUGUUGGUUUCUAGGACCGCCGUAAUGAUUAAUAGGGGACAGUCGGGGGGCAUCAGUAUUCAAUUGUCAGAGGUGAAAUUCUUGGAUUUAUUGAAGACUAACUACUGCGAAAGCAUUUGCCAAGGAUGUUUUCAUUAAUCAGUGAACGAAAGUUAGGGGAUCGAAGACGAUCAGAUACCGUCGUAGUCUUAACCAUAAACUAUGCCGACUAGGGAUCGGGCGGUGUUUCUAUUGUGACCCGCUCGGCACCUUACGAGAAAUCAAAGUG
rnacentral:rRNA from 1 species